GUGAGAGUCAAGCUGGUGUCACCAGGCUCCCAAGCCUGUGUUUCAUUUAUAAGCACAGGCCCAGCCUACUCUGCAGGGGUUCCCAGGGAGCUUCUAGACCCUUCCUGCCUACUUUUGUGGCAUUAAAUACCACCUGAAAUAAGCAGCCUCAGCGGGCACAUGUACACUGCUUGGUUUUCUCAGGAAGUCCUUCCAGUCCGGUAUGUGGAUUUGGUGUGAAGACACAGUAAGAAGGCAGCCGUCUGCAAUCCUGGAAGAGGGUUCUCACGCCAACCCUUGCUGGCACCCUGACCUUGGGCUUCCAACAUCCAGAACUGACACAGUGACCCCACAACACCCCUGGGCAAACAGGCAGGGAGAAGUGAAGCUACUUGCCCAAGAUCACCCAGCUCAAAAGGGCCAGAGGACGGAGAAGCUGAGAGGAAACCCCGGUGAAGAAGAGGCAGUUGUGUGGGAGAAGCCUUUGCCGUCUCUGGAGGGCCUUGCAGCCCAAGGGAGGGGCUCUCCGCAGCUCGGAGCCCAGGCCUGGCUGAGGAGGGGGCCAGAAGAUGCUCACAAGCACGCCCUGUGCCUGCGGCCCGCUGCCUGGUGCAGCCCCUCUGCGUGCAAGUAACACUAGAGAAGGAAAGACCCUGGCCUUACUGACCACCUGUCCCAUCACCUGUGAUCGUGGUAGGAUUGGGAGUGGGUCUCAUACCCCCUAGUGACAGAGGCUUUCUCCACCCUGUUGUCCAGCUUCCUGGCUCUGAAAGCUGCCGCCUCAGACAGACAGCUGAGUCGCCAGCCUUGUUCUGCUUCGCUCCCCUGAAAGGAAGAGAUCAGAGGCUGUCGCCGUAAUGGAGCAGCCACCAGGAUCCGAGGCACAAAGCACUAGGGGCAGUGGAUGUCUUUAGCAGGCCACAA
rnacentral:lncRNA from 1 species